GCAUGGCUGUCGUCAGCUCGUGUUGUGAAAUGUUGGGUUAAGUCCCGCAACGAGCGCAACCCUUAUCCUUUGUUGCCAGCGGUCCGGCCGGGAACUCAAAGGAGACUGCCAGUGAUAAACUGGAGGAAGGUGGGGAUGACGUCAAGUCAUCAUGGCCCUUACGACCAGGGCUACACACGUGCUACAAUGGCGCAUACAAAGAGAAGCAAACUCGCGAGAGCAAGCGGACCUCAUAAAGUGCGUCGUAGUCCGGAUUGGAGUCUGCAACUCGACUCCAUGAAGUCGGAAUCG
rnacentral:rRNA from 1 species